rnacentral:rRNA from 1 species
UACAGAGGGUGCGAGCGUUGUCCGGAAUCACUGGGCGUAAAGGGCGCGUAGGUGGCUCGGCAAGUCCGCGGUGAAAGCUCGAUGCUCAACAUCGAGUCGGCCACGGAUACUGCUGGGCUCGAGCACUGUAGAGGCAGAUGGAAUUCCGGGUGUAGCGGUGGAAUGCGUAGAGAUCCGGAAGAACACCGGUGGCGAAGGCAAUCCCCUGGGCCUGCACUGACGCUCAUGCACGAAAGCGUGGGGAGCAAACAGG